AGUGAACGCUGGCGGUAGGCCUAACACAUGCAAGUCGAACGGCAGCACAGUAAGAGCUUGCUCUUACGGGUGGCGAGUGGCGGACGGGUGAGGAAUACAUCGGAAUCUACUUUUUCGUGGGGGAUAACGUAGGGAAACUUACGCUAAUACCGCAUACGACCUACGGGUGAAAGCAGGGGAUCUUCGGACCUUGCGCGAUUGAAUGAGCCGAUGUCGGAUUAGCUAGUUGGCGGGGUAAAGGCCCACCAAGGCGACGAUCCGUAGCUGGUCUGAGAGGAUGAUCAGCCACACUAGAACUGAGACACGGUCCAGACUCCUACGGGAGGAAGCAGUGGGGAAUAUUGGACAAUGGGGGCAAGCCUGAUCCAGCCAUACCGCGUGGGUGAAGAAGGCCUUCGGGUUGUAAAGCCCUUUUGUUGGGAAAGAAAAGCAGCAGGUUAAUACCCCGCUGUUCUGACGGUACCCAAAGAAUAAGCACCGGCUAACUUCGUG
rnacentral:rRNA from 1 species